GCGAAGGUGGCGGAAUUGGCAGACGCACUAGCUUGAGGUGCUAGCGGGUAACACCGUGGGGGUUCAAGUCCCCCCCUUCGCACCC
rnacentral:tRNA from 1 species